AUUGAACGCUGGCGGCAGGCCUAACACAUGCAAGUCGAACGAGUGGCGGACGGGUGAGUAAUGUCUGGGAAACUGCCUGAUGGAGGGGGAUAACUACUGGAAACGGUAGCUAAUACCGCAUACCAUCGGAUGUGCCCAGAUGGGAUUAGCUAGUAGGUGGGGUAAAGGCUCACCUAGGCGACGAUCCCUAGCUGGUCUGAGAGGAUGACCGGCAAAACUGGACUUGGGAAACGUUCCAGACUCCUCCGGGGGCCACAGGUGGGGAUUUUUGCCCAAUGGGCGCAGGCCUGUUGCGGCCAGGCCGGGGGUAUGAAGAAGGCCUUCGGGUUGUAAAGUACUUUCAGCGGGGAGGCGUUACCCGCAGAGGAAGCCCCGCCAAACUCCGUGCCAGCAGCCGCGUAAUAC
rnacentral:rRNA from 1 species